CUUGGUCAUUUAGAGGAAGUAAAAGUCGUAACAAGGUUUCCGUAGGUGAACCUGCGGAAGGAUCAUUGCAGAUUGAAAUCACGUCGGAGCCUGUCGCAGUACCCCGGGCUUGGCUGGCAAGCGCUCUCUCGAAAGCGUUUCUGCUUGGCCCCGUAUUUGCACGGAUCAUGACUGAUCGAUAAACCAACCAUCACCAUUGUGCACCAAUUGCUGCGGCAUCUCUUCUCACACACACACACGCCAGACCAUUGAAUGUCAAAAGAAUUAAAUGUUAAUUGACACAACUUUCAACAACGGAUCUCUUGGCUCUCGCAUCGUUGAAGAACGCGGCGAAAUGCGAUAAGUAGUGUGAAACGCACCCUUUAGUGAAUCAUCGAAUCUUUGAACGCACCUUGCGCUCUUUGUGGUUUCGCGAUCCGAAGAGCAUGCCUGUUUGAGCGUCGUCCUGAUUUUUCUCAACCCUUACGACUUACUUGCAAGGGCUUGGAUGUAUGAUGGGGGAAAAGAAUGCAGAGAAUGGAAAUACUAGUCCCUUUCUCUUCCUCUGCUCCCCUCAAAUGCGUCUCGGCCGCAAGAAAGUCGGGAAAUGUUCUGGCGUGAUAAGAUCUAUUCGAUUCGCCCAGGACCCCGGCUAUAUCUUGCGGGGGAGAAUUUAUAUCUCUAUACACCAUGACCUUGACGACCUCAAAUCAGGUAGGACUACCCGCCGAACUUAAGCAUAUCAAUAAGCGGAGGAAAAGAAACUAACAAGGAUUCCCCUAGUAACUGCGAGUGAAGCGGGAAGAGCUCAAAAUUUAAGUCUGGCAGACCCUACAAGAAUGAUUGGUUUUUUGUACGGGUGUCCGAAUUGUAGGCUAGAGAGGCGUCAUCCAAGCCCCAGGCCCGUGUAUAAGUCUCCUGGAACGGAGCGUCAUAGAGGGUGAGAAUCCCGUCCAUGACACGGCGUGCCGGGGCCUAUUUGUGAGGCGCUCUCGACGAGUCGAGUUGUUUGGGAUUGCAGCUCAAAAUGGGUGGUAAAUUCCAUCUAAAGCUAAAUAUUGGCGAGAGACCGAUAGCGAACAAGUACCGUGAGGGAAAGAUGAAAAGAACUUUGAAAAGAGAGUUAUACAGUACGUGAAAUUGUUGAAAGGGAAACGCUUGAAGCCAGUCUCGUUGGCCGGAAAGAGGCAUGUCUUGGAAGAGGGUUGAGAGGACCGGUUUGACUUGGUUGGCAUGUCGGUGUGCUGGCCAAAUCCCGCUUUCCCCCCCGAGAAGCCACUGACUUUUUCCCGCCCGACGGGUCAGCAUCAAUUUUGACCGUCGGACAAGGUCCAGGUGGAAUGUGGCAACGUCCGUUGCGUUUAUAGCCCCUGGUGUUUUUAAAUAAACCGAAAGCUUACGACGGUUGGGAUUGACGAACAGAUGGGCGUGGGGCCGCACCUACACGGUAAUAAAUACCGAUUGUGCGUGAAUGAUCCUAAUAUGUGACAUUUGUCUCCACUAUAUUUGCCCGGGAUGCUGGCAUAAUGGCUUUAAUCGACCCGUCUUGAAACACGGACC
rnacentral:rRNA from 1 species